UGGGGAAUAUUGCGCAAUGGGCGGAAGCCUGACGCAGCGACGCCGCGUGGGGGAUGAAGGCCUUCGGGUUGUAAACCUCUUUUACCACUCACGAAGGCCCCUGGUUUUCUGGGGGUUGACGGUAGGUGGUGAAUAAGGACCGGCUAACUACGUGCCAGCAGCCGCGGUAAUACGUAGGGUCCGAGCGUUGUCCGGAAUUAUUGGGCGUAAAGAGCUCGUAGGCGGCCUGUCGCGUCUGCUGUGAAAGUCCGGGGCUUAACUCCGGGUGUGCAGUGGAUACGGGCAGGCUUGAGGUAGGUAGGGGAGACUGGAAUUCCUGGUGUAGCGGUGAAAUGCGCAGAUAUCAGGAGGAACACCGGUGGCGAAGGCGGGUCUCUGGGCCUUACCUGACGCUGAGGCGCGAAAGUGUGGGGAGCAAACAGG
rnacentral:rRNA from 2 species